AACAAUCUAGGUUAAUUAGACUAUCUGUCUUCAAAACAGGGGGUGACGUUUAAUGUCGUUUGUUG
rnacentral:tRNA from 1 species